UGAGAAUCUCCCACUUAUUCGCAUUGGUGUUGAUGGACUAUUGCAAGUAAAUGGGCAAGCAGUAGAAAACCCAGAGAAAUAUCUUCAUUGGCUGCCUAAGAGAAAAGGAGAAGAAUCUGUCAAACAAAAGACUCCUAAUCAAACAAAAGGAGUCAGGGGUUUGCAGGCAGUCCCACCAGAACCAGGUUUAGAAUUGACUUCAGAGGAAAAGCACAAAGAGCUCUCCAGAAAUGAAGCUAGCCAGCAUCAGGUUGAAGAAGGAAGGAAGCAGGAAUGGAGUGAAUGGGGCGCAUCAGAGAGCCUGCAGGCUGCUGCUCUUGACGGCGGUGACCUCACAUCACCUCUACCGAGGAGGAGGAACAAGCAGGCCGGGAAACCCGGAACACAGGAGUCUCCUAGUGUAGACAGCAAAGAGCAGGAUGG
rnacentral:lncRNA from 1 species